rnacentral:misc_RNA from 1 species
UGGGGGAACUGGAAUUCUCCGAAGAGGAAAAAUGAGCAGAUAGAGAAUAGAGUGAGGAAGUGCGAGGUGACCAAUUGGGUCUUAUUUGUUGCUUGUGGGAUUUUGGGGUUUUGAAAGAUGAUAAAGCAUAAUGGAGUGAAAGGUUUCGGGCGACUAUUUAGGCGGGAAAUGGCCGAAGACAGCGUUAAUAGCGAAGACAACAUUUUUU